rnacentral:rRNA from 1 species
UAGGGAAUCUUCCACAAUGGACGCAAGUCUGAUGGAGCAACGCCGCGUGAGUGAAGAAGGUUUUCGGAUCGUAAAGCUCUGUUGUUGGUGAAGAAGGGUAGAGGCAGUAACUGGUCUUUAUUUGGCGGUAAUCAACCAGAAAGUCACGGCUAACUACGUGCCAGCAGCCGCGGUAAUACGUAGGUGGCAAGCGUUGUCCGGAUUUAUUGGGCGUAAAGCGAGCGCAGGCGGAAUGAUAAGUCUGAUGUGAAAGCCCACGGCUCAACCGUGGAACUGCAUCGGAAACUGUCAUUCUUGAGUGCAGAAGAGGAGAGUGGAAGUCCAUGUGUAGCGGUGGAAUGCGUAGAUAUAUGGAAGAACACCAGUGGAGAAGGCGGCUCUCUGGUCUGCAACUGACGCUGAGGCUCGAAAGCAUGGGUAGCGAACAGG